rnacentral:rRNA from 1 species
AUGUCUUCCUCCGGCGCCUCCUCACCAAACCUCAAUAAUCAGGUCACAGAGAAGAUGUCACACACGAACUACGUGCUAUGGCGCACGCAGAUCACACCUCAGAUGCGCGGUGCCAGCGUCUUCGGCUACGUCGACGGCACCAACCCGGAGCCGGCCAAGCUCCUCGUCACCGUCAAGGAGGGCAAGGAGACUUCAUCGCCCAACUCUCUCCAUCCUAUAUGGGUACGGGAGGACCAGCGGGUCCUUGGCUACCUGCUGAAUAACCUCACAAAAGAGGUGCUGGUCACGGUGACCACGGUCACCACGGCGGGCGCGCUCAGGACGACGCUCGCGGCCAUGUUCUCGUCACAAUCGGCAAGUCGCAUCAACAACAUACGCACCUCCCUCAUCAACGCGCAGAAGGGUAACCUCUCGGUUGCCUCCUACUUCGCCGCCAUGCGUGGCUAUGCCGAUGAGCUGGCCGCGGCGGGUAAGCCCAUCUAG